CAACAUCUUUGUUUGUAUGUGGUGCUGAGGAUCAAACCCGAGCCGCACACAUGCCAGAAAGCAACUCUACUGGAUCUCAGAUUCCACGUGGAAACCUGGAAGUUUCUGGGGAAUAGAGAAGAGAUGGCUGAAAAGAUUCUGAACCUGGAAAUGAAUGCAGAGUAUUGGUAAGGCUUAAAGGGCUGUUGUGCUCGAUAAUUCUGUGAGGUUACAAGGAGAGGGGUUUGAGUUUAAUACAGAGAGUUACCUGGCAUUUCAACUGCAUGGACGGAGCUAUGUGCAUGAGCCUGAACUCCCACCAUGGGAAGGCAGAGACCUGCUGUGCUCUGGGAAAGCAAUUGUGCUCAGUGACUAGUCUGUGUGUGACCCUCCCAGUACUGCCAUCUGCUGAGGUUUGCAUAGAGCAGGCUCUGUCACAUCCCUGCCUGUGAUUGCCUUCUCUGAGGAUCUUGCCUUCUCUGAGGCUCUCUUCCUUCACCUGAAAAUGUGGGGUGAGCUGUGCUUACCUUUCAGGGUCCUGGUGAGGCCUAGAUGGGGUUGCAUAUGUUGAGCACCUAGCAGGAGCCUGGCUCAUACCUCCAUCACCGCUUGGGAUUUCCUGCAGUAGGAGGAGUGACAGCUCACUCUUGCAUCCCCUGGAGGUCCCGUUGCUGCAUGAAGCCAGUGGGUCCCGGCCUUCUGCUUAGAGACACAGAAAGCCGGAUUUAGAUUUCAGUUCCACCGCAUGCUAAGCAACAGAGUUUGCCCACUUUCUAAAAAUAUGUGUCCAGGUUUAUUUUCCUUCUCCAGGGUUCUGGCUUCCUGCUCAGAAACACAGCAUCACAGGAAGCUGUCCAUCUGAGCUCACACUUCCCCUUGCCUGUGGAGGACACAGCUCUUCCCAGAGCUAGUCUCUCCCUGCACCUCCCUCCCGGGCCUCCUCCUGAGGAGUUAGCACCACUCAGCCAGGCCCAACAAGAACACUGGGGGAUUGUCCUGCCAAAGCCCCUGAGCCGCCUGAGGCUGACAGGAAGGAAGUGCUUGUCUGAGUUGCUGGGCUGGCAGGGUGCUGCCCCUGACGUGCCACCGUACACGGCACAUUCUGUGCAGAGGGAGGCAAGUCUGGGGCUAAACGGAGGCUACUCUGACAUCUUAGAGGUGUGCCCUCUUCAGCCAGAGUCUCCAAGAUAGAAGGGAUGACCCAGGCCCCACCAUGGGGCAGAAGGCCCUUCAGAGCUGCAGUACCCUUCCUUCCUAGUGCCAUCUGACCCUUCUUUGUCCCCAAAUCACUCUUUCCCAGACCAUCCUGUCCCAAGCCAGGGCUCUUUCCAGAAGGGAAAAGCAGACUCCACCAUCCUAACUCCCAGAAUGUCACCCUGGAUUCUCCACAGCCUCUUCUAGUUAGACCCUCUCAGGCUUUCCUAGAACUCUAUGCCACCUAGUGCUAAGAGAGGGCAGAGUCUCAUAGGAAGACUGAACUCAGUUCCACCUCAGCUCUCCCUGGUCGUGUGUCUUACCCAGGUGAGUGACGUCAAAAGACUGAAUGAGCACAGACAUGUAAAACUUGUGACAACCGUAACACUCAUGUAGUCUAGACAAUGGUUCUCCAUCUAUAGUCCCUGCUGGCAGAGUAAACAUCAUGGGGGAGUUUGUUAGAGAAGCAAAUGAUCAGACUCACUCAGAUCCAAUGGGUUGAAGCCUCUGAAGGUGGGACUCAGGGAUCUGGGUUUCCAUAAGCCCUCCGUGGGAUUCGGUCGCAUGGGGCCAGCACACAGAAAGCAGAGCCCUCUUCUAAGGUGCACAGAAGGAGAACCACCCUCAGGUGCAGAUCCUUGAGGUAGAAACCCUGCUACACUAUCUUUGCACCCCCAGUACCUAAUGGGGCAUCUGGCUCAUAGUAGGUGGCCAAAAUAGUGAAUAAGAAUAGCUCAGAAGUCUUACAAUAAGUAUAUGUUCCUCUCAUAAAUUUAGAAAGAAGAUAAUCUGGUUUGAGGGGGACAAAAGUCAUAUAAGAGGAAAGAGUAGACAGGGCCACUUUCUUUGUCCUGAGCAUGUCAGGGAGAUGAUCAGUGGGGACCCUGGGCCAGACCAGAGCCAGCCCACACUUCCUGCAUCCUUGUUGGUACAUGACUUCUGGGUCUUCCUUGAGGGAUCAACAGUGGUCAGCCUUUCAUGGAUUCAUCCUACAGGUACUUGAGCACUUAAUCUGUGCCGUCCUAGGGGCUGAGGACACAGCGGUGAGCAGGACAUUCAGGUCCCACCCUUCCCAAGCCUGCAUCAAGGCAAGAAGCCAGGUGGACCCACUGAUUUUGAGAAGGUAUGCUGCUGUGUGAAAGGGAUAAUACAGGGGCUACAGGACAGAAGUCAGAGAAGAGGGCUUAGUUGAGACUUGAAGACAAGCAGGAACCAAAGGAACGAAAAGGUGAGAGGGUGUGUUUGAGGCAAAAGGUACAACAUGUGCAGACCCAGGGCAGGUCAGGAGGAAAUGCUGGUUGGGAGAAAAGGGUGGGUGAGGGCUAUCCAUCUCCACAGGCACCAGCUAAAACAGUGAGCCAGGCAGGAGUCCCAGAGGGAGAAGCACAGGCCCUGCCUACAGAGAUCCCACACUCCAACAGUCAUUCAGCAAACACUUGGGCACCAUUCUAUACACCGGGAACACAGUGAAAUCCGAGCAAAACAAAGCCAGAGCCUGCUCUGAAGCUCUUCCUGGUGAUGCACCUAGACAACAAAGGCAAGAGUAACACUGCAGGGAGAGGGUAAGCACCGGUCAUGGGUGGAACUCCUGACUGGGAGAGGACAGGUGGGGCUGAGGAAGUGGAGGCCAGGGUCACCACCAGGGAAUCAGGAGUCAGGAAUGCACCGACUCAUUCCUCAAGUCACCCCACCACUCGGGGAUCUGUGACUUCAGCCUUACGGAUUUCAACGUCCUGGUUUGUAAUCAAAGCCAGGGAGAAUGGCCAGGCUUUCAGGGCAGGAGGCAACAAGAAGAAAAUACUACGCCUAUCCCACUGUACUACGAAGCGUCCGCCCCAGGCCUACUGUGCUGCCCGGAACAGCCUUGUGUCCGCCUCACCGUCCACACACAGCAAAGGUUAGUGGAGCCAGGCUGAAGCUUCUGCAGCUGAGAGCAGGGAGCUCAGUUUGUGUGGCUUGGCAUUUGGGACCUAAGUCCUGUGCCCUAAAAACGUCACUUCCCAAGCUGGUUCUCUGUCUGUCCAAGUCCCAGAUCUGGUCUAGAUUAAGUACAGAGGGAAGCAGUAAAUGACAGGGCCAGAGAGGUGCUUGUGGGCCAGGCUAAUAACACUUAAUGGGAGGCUGAAUCCCAGCCACCAGCCACCCUGGCUGAUCCUCUAAUGACACAUGUUGGUGGGUGGCCUCCCACCGGAGGAGGCUGCCUUUGGAGGCAUGGCCAGGAAUGGGCCCUGUGAGAUAUCCUCUCAAAUGGGGCCUUAAACAAAACCCACCUUGGAUUCAGACUUUAUUCCUUUAUUCAGACUUUAUUCCGUAUACUUUCUGAAAGUGUGUAGGAGGGAGGACUGGGAAUCAAGAUGGGCUGGAUCAUGGCCCAGGUUGCUUCCCAUCUCUGGCUCCUCCUUGGACUAGCAGGAUAGACCAGGCCACUCUGUGACCUGUGAUCUCAGUGGCUUAAAUAAAUAAAAGUUUAUUUUACUCAGGGCAGGCAUCUCUUCUCCAUCAGAUGGCUUCACUAGCAAGAGCCCAUGGCUAGAAUGUCCCCCUAAAUUCAAGUGUUGGAAACAUCAUCCCCAGUUCAAUAGGGUUGGGAGGCAGGGCCUAAUGGCAGGUGAUGAGGUCACAGGGCUCCACCCUCACAAAUGGAUUAAUGUCAUAUCAUGACUGGUUUUGUUAUGAAGACUUCAACCCCUUUUGCCUGAUCUUACACAUUCUUUUGCCAUGUGACAUUUCCACCAUAUUAUGACACAGCAGGAAAUGUAGCCCCUUGAUCUUGGACUUCUCAGCAUCUAAAACUGCAAGCUAAACAAACUCCUGUUGAUUGUAGAUUAACCAGGCUAUGGUGUUCUGUUACAGUAGCACAUAACAGACUAAGACAUGGGGUCCCCAGUGUCCCUGAAGCAGGGAAGGAAGAAUGGAGAGGGUCUUGUGAGCAAUAUUUGAAGGCCAGGCCUGAAUGUGGCUGAUAUCUUUCUUACCACAUAUCACUGGACUGGACUCAUCACACGGCCACAUCCAACUGCAAGAGGACCAGGAAAUCAGUCCCCUCUCCAGGAAGAUGCUGUGUUAUGGAGAAUGGGUAGCAUGCUUCCAUUCAUUUGUUCAGUUUGUGGAGAGGCAUCUAAUAAGUACCAGGCAACAUGUUAAGUAUUGGAGACAUAGACUUCCCUGUCCUCAAGAAGUUGAGUAAGUGACACCCCAGAAGAUAUAUCAUCACAGUUCUCUAGAGGCUACCGUGGAGCAGCAAAUAAAGGCCCCUAACCCAG